rnacentral:rRNA from 1 species
UACGAAGGGGCUAGCGUUGCUCGGAAUGACUGGGCGUAAAGGGCGCGUAGGCGGUUCGUACAGUCAGACGUGAAAUUCCCGGGCUCAACCUGGGGGCUGCGUUUGAUACGUGCGGGCUUGAGUUCGGAAGAGGGUCGUGGAAUUCCCAGUGUAGAGGUGAAAUUCGUAGAUAUUGGGAAGAACACCGGUGGCGAAGGCGGCGACCUGGUCCGAUACUGACGCUGAGGCGCGAAAGCGUGGGGAGCAAACAGG